rnacentral:rRNA from 1 species
UACGAAGUGGGCUAGCGUUGCUCGGAAUCACUGGGCGUAAAGCGCACGUAGGCGGAUUGCUAAGUCAGGGGUGAAAUCCUGGAGCUCAACUCCAGAACUGCCUUUGAUACUGGCAAUCUCGAGUCCGGGAGAGGUGAGUGGAACUGCGAGUGUAGAGGUGAAAUUCGUAGAUAUUCGCAAGAACACCAGUGGCGAAGGCGGCUCACUGGCCCGGUACUGACGCUGAGGUGCGAAAGCGUGGGGAGCAAACAGG